GGGCGUGUACCGAAGUGGUCAAACGGGUCAGACUGUAAAUCUGAUGGCAUCGCCUUCACAGGUUCGAAUCCUGUCGCGCCCA
rnacentral:tRNA from 1 species